AGCUCUUCCCGCCUGCCGCGGUGGAGACCCAGGCCGAAGGCGGGGAAGGCCGGUCCAGCCCGUUCCUCUGCCCGCGCGGCGGGAGCAUCGUUCCGGAGGACUGCCCGAAGGCAAGCCUCGCAGCCGGAGAGCGCGGCGCACACGCGCGCCUCCCGGCCGCGGCCGUCCUCUCUUCCCUCCUUCCUCUCCUCUCUCCCCUCCCCUCUCCUCCGCCCCCAACCUCUGCUGCGGCGGGAGGAAGAACCCUUCCCGACUAGCCCAGAGAACCCAGGUCGAUUCUCAUUCCCGGAGAAAGAGACCCUCUUGGUGGGAUCCGGCUGGUCGCUCGCCCCCCGGCCACGGAAGUGACUGGUCGUCUAUUGGGAG
rnacentral:lncRNA from 1 species